rnacentral:rRNA from 1 species
AUUGAACGCUGGCGGUAGGCCUAACACAUGCAAGUCGAACGCGAAAGUCCUUCGGGAUGAGUAGAGUGGCGGACGGGUGAGUAACGCGUAGGAAUCUAUCCUGUAGUGGGGGAUAACGUUUCGAAAGGAACGCUAAUACCGCAUACGCCCCAAGGGGGAAAGCGGGGGAUCUUCGGACCUCGUGCUAUAGGAGGAGCCUGCGUCGGAUUAGCUAGUUGGUGAGGUAAAGGCUCACCAAGGCGACGAUCCGUAGCUGGUCUGAGAGGAUGAUCAGCCACACCGGAACUGGGACACGGUCCGGACUCCUACGGGAGGCAGCAGUGGGGAAUAUGGCGCAAUGGGCGAAAGCCUGACGCAGCCAUACCGCGUGUGUGAAGAAGGCCUUCGGGUUGUAAAGCACUUUCAGUGGGGAGGAAAAGCUGGUGGCUAAUAUCCAUCGGCCGUGACGCUACCCACAGAAGAAGCACCGGCUAAUUCCGUGCCAGCCGCCGCGGUAAGAC